rnacentral:sRNA from 1 species
CAGAAACGCCGUACAGAAAAAAAUCCAACAAACUUUCACCACCAUUCCCGCCACUCUACGCCUCUAUUUCCAUGAUUGUUUCGUCAAUGUAAAACAAUCUUUUCUUUGAUAAAAAAUGAUUUCUAGCGAACUAUAUUUUAUAAUUUUCGGUAAUUUAUUUUAUUAUUAUCAUAGGGAUGUGAUGCAUCAGUGAUGAUAGCGUCGACAAAUACUAAUAAGGCGGAGAAGGAUCAUGAGGAUAAUUUAUCGUUGGCCGGAGAUGGAUUCGACACCGUCAUUAAAGCUAAAGAAGCUGUUGACGCCGUCCCAAAUUGUCGUAACAAAGU